rnacentral:rRNA from 1 species
AUGUAUGUUCAUACCUCCCUGAACACUCCUGAUCUCCUCUGAUGCUGGAAGCUAAGCAGGGUCCAGCCUGGUUAGUACUUGGAUGGGAGAUUUUCUCCUGAUACCCUGUUCACAGUUGAUU